rnacentral:lncRNA from 1 species
CGCCUUUUUGAUCAACAAGGGAUUGAAUCACUUCAAGGGGGGAACUCUUGGGUUGAGCUUAUGAGGACUGUCAUUUCUAGGACGAUCAGUCCGAAUUUGACCGAUGUCGACAGUCUCGCCACGGCCUAUUGUCUUUUUCUGGAGAAGGGCCUGGGGCUUUGAAGCAGGGCCACUUAUAUUGCAAAACUUUCAGAGACGGGAUGG